rnacentral:rRNA from 1 species
CCUACGGGAGGCAGCAGUAGGGAAUCUUCCACAAUGGGCGAAAGCCUGAUGGAGCAACGCCGCGUGGGUGAAGAAGGUCUUCGGAUCGUAAAACCCUGUUGUUAGAGACGAAAGUGCGUGAGAGUAACUGUUCACGUUUCGACGGUAUCUAACCAGAAAGCCACGGCUAACUACGUGCCAGCAGCCGCGGUAAUACGUAGGUGGCAAGCGUUAUCCGGAUUUAUUGGGCGUAAAGGGAACGCAGGCGGUCUUUUAAGUCUGAUGUGAAAGCCUUCGGCUUAACCGGAGUAGGGCAUUGGAAACUGGAAGACUUGAGUGCAGAAGAGGAGAGUGGAAUUCCAUGUGUAGCGGUGAAAUGCGUAGAUAUAUGGAAGAACACCAGUGGCGAAAGCGGCUCUCUGGGCUGUAACUGACGCUGAGGUUCGAAAGCGUGGGUAGCAAACAGGAUUAGAUACCCGAGUAGUC